UUUUCACUGGAUGCCUGUCAAUCGGUAAGAAAAGAUUGAAAUUUGUUCAGCGUUUUUAAGUUUAGCGUCACUUUUGCACGAGACUUGCUGUUCAGAAGACAUGGCUGGGUAAUAGCAAAUUGCAGAUCAUGGAAACAGAGGGCCUGAACAACAGGAGUGACAAUAUGAGCGAUUGAUGGCCUGGUGAUGUACUACCUUCAAAACUUAGGUGGUUCUAUUGAGGAGGCCUCCACGUGGCAGAACUGGUAACAGCUUACCGUAUUUAUCCGCAAAUAAACCCAUGCCCAAUAAUUAGCCCCCUCAUUUUUGCAUAACCAUUGAUUUUAGCAAAAAAUUAGACCUCCUCCAACUUUGAUACUAAACUUUAACACUAUGGGAAGGGAUUUAUUGAAGGAUAAAUACGACACGCAUAAAUGUAUGUUUAUGUGGGCUGGCUAACAUCCUCUUACAUGUCUCCCCUUUAAAUGUAGGGAAAUAUAUUGUCUUUGCAUUGGUUCUUCAGAUUUCCAAGGGGGAGUCAUGAUUAUCUUAGGGCUGCGAUAGCUCGGAGUGCCGGCCAUGUUAUCCGAGGUGAUGAUCCGAGGUGCGUGGUUCGACACUCCCUACCCAUGUUGGUUCAUGUUUCUUUGGAAGCUGAGAAACAGGCCAGCUAGUACUGUCGUGGUUGUGUCCUUGGGCAAGACACUUUACCCUAAUUGCUCUGGAUGGCAUGCGACGGGCCUCCCGUAUGUUGUUCAGUGAGGUAGUCACCAACUACUACAAGGAGACCCCGCCUCAAUGAUCCUGGUUGUUCACGAGGCGAUAAACCCAACAAAUAUGAUUAUCUUUAAACAAAUAUCUAGUUUGAAUGUCAGUUUCCACUUUUGUAUGUUCAGGUUUGAAAUGGUAGUUAUAUUUUAUAAGUUUAUCUUGUCAGUGGAACAAAUAGUCAAUAAGAUAUAAAGAGAAGAAAAGUACAGAAAUGUUCCAAUAUACAUAGAAUACAGGAUACUUAUCUGGAUACUUAGGUCUAGUAGAAUAGAUUAAUAAAAACAAGAACAUUCAACUUAUUUAAUAUUGAAACUGUGUCUUACAUGUUGGUCAGUUUUAUUAUACAAUUUUAUUUUUAUAGGUCCCCAAGUAGAGCCAGACUGUUUGAUUGUUCACCCUUACAGACCAAACAAUCCAUUUUGGUAAAGACCAUUCCACUGGCCCAUGGAGAAGCAUAUUUAGUGUAAAAAAUUGGUCAGCUUGACUUUACAAGAUGGUGUAAAAUUGCUUAAGGUGCCCCUGGAAUUUUUCAGGGUAAUAAAUAGA